UAGGGAAUCUUCCGCAAUGGGCGAAAGCCUGACGGAGCAACGCCGCGUGAGUGAUGAAGGUCUUCGGAUCGUAAAACUCUGUUAUUAGGGAAGAACAAAUGUGUAAGUAACUAUGCACGUCUUGACGGUACCUAAUCAGAAAGCCACGGCUAACUACGUGCCAGCAGCCGCGGUAAUACGUAGGUGGCAAGCGUUAUCCGGAAUUAUUGGGCGUAAAGCGCGCGUAGGCGGUUUUUUAAGUCUGAUGUGAAAGCCCUCGGCUCAACCGUGGAGGGUCAUUGGAAACUGGAAAACUUGAGUGCAGAAGAGGAAAGUGGAAUUCCAUGUGUAGCGGUGAAAUGCGCAGAGAUAUGGAGGAACGCCAGUGGCGAAGGCGACUUUCUGGUCUAUAACUAACGCUGAUGUGCGAAAGCGUGGGGAUCAAACAGG
rnacentral:rRNA from 1 species